GUCUAUGGCCAUAUCACCCUGAACAGGCCUGAUCCCAUCUGGUCUUAGACGCCAACCAGGGUCAGACCCAGUUAGUACUUGGAUGGGAGAAUUGUUCAGCAAUAAUGGCUUGCCAGGAAGCACCCAGGGGGUGUAACA
ensembl:rRNA 5S_rRNA 5S ribosomal RNA